rnacentral:rRNA from 1 species
CUUUCACUCUGGCGGUAGGCCUAACACAUGCAAGUCGAACGGCAGCACAGUAAGAGCUUGCUCUUACGGGUGGCGAGUGGCGGACGGGUGAGGAAUACAUCGGAAUCUACUUUUUCGUGGGGGAUAACGUAGGGAAACUUACGCUAAUACCGCAUACGACCUACGGGUGAAAGCAGGGGAUCUUCGGACCUUGCGCGAUUGAAUGAGCCGAUGUCGGAUUAGCUAGUUGGCGGGGUAAAGGCCCACCAAGGCGACGAUCCGUAGCUGGUCUGAGAGGAUGAUCAGCCACACUGGAACUGAGACACGGUCCAGACUCCUACGGGAGGCAGCAGUGGGGAAUAUUGGACAAUGGGCGCAAGCCUGAUCCAGCCAUACCGCGUGGGUGAAGAAGGCCUUCGGGUUGUAAAGCCCUUUUGUUGGGAAAGAAAAGCAGCAGGUUAAUACCCCGCUGUUCUGACGGUACCCAAAGAAUAAGCACCGGCUAACUUCGUG